UGGGGAAAAAUAACUGCAAGA
ensembl:piRNA 21ur-4937 ncRNA